rnacentral:rRNA from 1 species
AACGAACGUUGGCGGCAGGCUUAACACAUGCAAGUCGAACGCAUGCCUUCGGGCAUGAGUGGCAGACGGGUGCGUAACGCGUGGGAACCUACCCCUUGGUACGGGAUAGCUCCGGGAAACUGGAGAUAAUACCGUAUGUGUCCUGAGGGACAAAGAUUCAUCGCCAAGGGAUGGGCCCGCGUCGGAUUAGCUAGUUGGUGGGGUAACGGCCUACCAAGGCGACGAUCCGUAGCUGGUCUAAGAGGAUGAUCAGCCACAUUGGGACUGAGACACGGCCCAAACUCCUACGGGAGGCAGCAGUGGGGAAUAUUGGACAAUGGGCGCAAGCCUGAUCCAGCCAUGCCGCGUGAGUGAUGAAGGCCCUAGGGUUGUAAAGCUCUUUCACCGGUGACGAUAAUGACGGUAACCGGAGAAGAAGCCCCGGCUAACUUCGUG